GAGUUUGAUUAUGGCUCAGAUUGAACGCUGGCGGCAUGCUUUACACAUGCAAGUCGAAUGGCAGCACGGAAGAGCUUGCUCUUUUGGUGGCGAGUGGCGAACGGGUGAGUAACGCAUCGGAACGUACCGAGUAGUGGGGGAUAACUGUCCGAAAGGAUGGCUAAUACCGCAUAUUCUCUGAGGAGGAAAGCAGGGGACCUUCGGGCCUUGCGCUAUUUGAGCGGCCGAUGUCUGAUUAGCUAGUUGGUGGGGUAAAGGCCUACCAAGGCGACGAUCAGUAGCGGGUCUGAGAGGAUGAUCCGCCACACUGGGACUGAGACACGGCCCAGACUCCUACGGGAGGCAGCAGUGGGGAAUUUUGGACAAUGGGGGGAACCCUGAUCCAGCCAUGCCGCGUGUCUGAAGGAGGCCUUCGGGUUGUAAAGGACUUUUGUCAGGGAAGAAAAGCUUGAGGUUAAUACCCUUGAGUGAUGACG
rnacentral:rRNA from 1 species